GGACGGUGGUCAUGGAAGUCGAAAUCCGCUAAGGAGUGUGUAACAACUCACCUGCCGAAUCAACUAGCCCCGAAAAUGGAUGGCGCUCAAGCGAGUCCCCGAAACCGGGCCAUUGUGGCAGAUGCGAAGCCACAAUGAGUAGGAGGGCGUGGGGGUUGCGGCGAAGGCGCGGGCGCGAGCCCCGCUUAGAGCAGCCUCUAGUGCAGAUCUUGGUGUUAGUAGCAAAUAUUCAAAUGAAAACUUUGAAGACCGAAGUGGAGAAAGGUUUCACGUGAACAUCAUUUGGACGUGAGUGACUCGGUCCUAAGGUAUUCCGUAUGGGAUUCAGAAGGCGCGGCUUGUCGCGCCAUCGGCCAAAAGGGCAAUCGGUUAAAAUUCCGAUAGUGCGGACACGGUGCUGAGCGGCAACGCGUUCGAACCAGGUGACGGUAGCCCGGGCCCCGGGAAGAGUUCUCUUUUCUUUUUGACACAGCAACAGGCCAUGAAAUAGGAUUACCCUUAGAUAUGGCGGGUUGCGUGGCAGAGCGGCUGACCCUUUCAGCCGUCCGGUGCGCUCGGGAAGCCCCUUGAAAAGCCUGGGGAGUGCAUGCACUCGGUCCCAGCCGUACUCAUAACCGCAUCAGGUCUCCAAGGUUAAAAGCCUCUGGUCAAUAGAACAAUGUAGGUAAGGGAAGUCGGCAAAUUGGUUCCGUAAGUUCGCGAUAUGGAAUGGCUCGUCAGACUGGAUGGUAGAGGCUCGGUCCAUGAAGCGUGCUAGCUGACAGGACUAGCUAGGCCGCCUUCGGGUGCGCCCGGCUGGGCCUGCUUUGUAGGCGUGUGGAGGGAUCGAGACAGCGCGCGGCCUUUCGGGGACCCGUCGCAUUCUCGCCAUGACUAGCAGUCAAUGACGAACUCGUAGUGACCACAGGAACCCGACUGUUUAAUUAAAACAAAGCAUUGUGAUGGCCCUCGCGGGUGUUGACACAAUGUGAUUUCUGCCCAGUGCUCUGAAUGUCAAUGUGAUGUAAUUCAAUUAAGCGCGGGUAAACGGCGGGAGUAACUAUGACUCUCUUAAGGUAGCCAAAUGCCUCGUCAUCUAAUUAGUGACGCGCAUGAAUGGAUCAACGAGGUUCCUACUGUCCCUAUCUACUAUCUAGCGAAACCACAGCCAAGGGAACGGGCUUGGGAGUAACGGCGGGGAAAGAAGACCCUGUUGAGCUUGACUCUAGUCUGACAUUGUGAAAUGACCUGAUUGGUGCAGCAUAAGUGGGAGCGCAAGCGACAGUGAGAUACCACUACUUUCCGCGUUGUUUUUCUUACAUGGUUAGCAA
rnacentral:rRNA from 1 species